AUUGAACGCUGGCGGCAUGCCUUACACAUGCAAGUCGAACGGUAACAGGUUAAGCUGACGAGUGGCGAACGGGUGAGUAAUGUAUCGGAACGUGCCCAGUCGUGGGGGAUAACUACUCGAAAGAGUGGCUAAUACCGCAUACGACCUGAGGGUGAAAGCGGGGGACCGAAAGGCCUCGCGCGAUUGGAGCGGCCGAUAGCAGAUUAGCUAGUUGGUGGGGUAAAAGCCCACCAAGGCGACGAUCUGUAGCUGGUCUGAGGGGACGACCAGCCACACUGGGACUGAGACACGGCCCAGACUCCUACGGGAGGCAGCAGUGGGGAAUUUUGGACAAUGGACGCAAGUCUGAUCCAGCCAUACCGCGUGCGGGAAGAAGGCCUUCGGGUUGUAAACCGCUUUUGUCAGGGAAGAAACGAGUUUCUCUAAUACAGAGACUUAAUGACGGUACCUGAAGAAUAAGCACCGGCUAACUACGUGCCAGCAGCCGCGGUAAAAC
rnacentral:rRNA from 1 species